AGGUUAAGCGAACAAGCGUACACGGUGGAUGCCCUGGCAGUCAGAGGCGAUGAAGGACGUGCUAAUCUGCGAAAAGCGCCGGUAAGGUGAUAUGAACCGUUAUAACCGGCGAUGUCCGAAUGGGGAAACCCGGUGCACUUCGGUGCAUCAUCGUUAGCUGAAUACAUAGGCAACCGAGGCGACCCGGGGGAACUGAA
rnacentral:rRNA from 1 species